GAAGAAGCAGAACAACCGGGUGGACCUGACACGUAGUUUGCUGUCCCGAUGACUGCAUGCUGAGAGACUGGAGGAUGAGACAUGCAAUCAGUAUUUCCAGCUCAAGUGUGAACGAAUCCAGGGGAGGUCACCCUGUCACCGCUGGAGGAACACCUCAUUUCCAGGUCCUCUGCACGAGCCCGACUGUGAAAUGAACCAAGCAGGGACUGGUCGGACACUUCCUUCCUUUCCUCAUUGACGCUCCGGGCCCAGUGAUUGUUUCCCUGUUGCUCUGAUUGUGAACCGUCCUCCUCUUGCCAAAGCAAACAGCCUGGACUGGAGGAGGAGUUCCUCAGGCUUGUCUGCCAGCCUGAACAUGAACGCAAGCCGAGCAGACGACAGCCCGCGUUCCCGAGGGACUUGGGGCCCCGUGGGGCCUGGCCCUCAGGAGCAGGUCCUUUCGUGAUGCUGGCGCCCGGGAGUGAGCACCAUGCCCAUCACCCAGGACAAUGCCGGGCUGCACCUGCCCCUCCUCUACCAGUGGCUGCAGAACAGCCUGCGGGAGGGCGGGGAUGGCCCGGAGCAGCGCCUCUGCCAGGCAGCCAUCCAGAAACUGCAGGAGUACAUCAGGCUGAACUUCGCUGUGGAUGAGAGCUCCAUCCAGCCCGACCGCAGCCCCCCUGGGAUGGAGAUCUGCACGGUGUACCUCACCAAGGAGCUGGAGGACGCGGAGACUGUGGGCCUCAGUUUUGGGAACAUCCCUGUUUUUGGGGACUAUGGGGAAAAGCGCAGAGGGGGCAAGAAGAGAAAAACCCACCAGGGCCCUGUGCUAGAUGUGGGCUGCAUCUGGGUGACGGAGCUGAGGAAGAACAGCCCGGCCGGGAAGAGCGGGAAGGUGCGCCUGCGGGACGAGAUCCUCUCGCUGAAUGGGCAGCUGAUGGUCGGAGUUGAUGUCAGUGGGGCCAGUUACUUGGCUGAGCAGUGCUGGAAUGGCGGCUUCAUCUACCUGAUCAUGCUACGCCGCUUCAAGCACCAAGUCCAUUCUUACAACGGCAACAGUAGCAACAGCUCCGAACCAGGAGAGACGCCUACCUUGGAGCUGGGGGACCAAACAGUGAAAAAGGGGAAGAGAGCAAGAAAGUUUGGGGUCAUUGCCAGGCCUUCUACCCACAAAGCUGCUGAAGACUCCAAGAGCAGUACUGGCUGUGAGUUGGACCACGACCCCGUGUCUGAGCUGGACAAUGGCCUAGACCCUGAACUGGGAAACGGUCAUGCUUUUGAGCUAGAAAAUGGCCCGGAUUUGCUCAAGGAGGUGGCUGGAUCCCAUCUAGAUAGGUCGGAAUUGGACAGAGGGACAGAGCCUAGAAUUCCAAAGACAGAUGCACCUCUGCCCACAAGCAAUGACAAACGCCGCUUCUCAAAAUCUGGGAAGACAGACUUCCAAUCCAGCGACUGCCUGGCACGGGAGGAAGUUGGCCGGAUAUGGAAGAUGGAGCUGCUUAAAGAAUCGGAUGGGCUGGGAAUUCAGGUUAGUGGAGGCCGAGGAUCAAAGCGCUCACCUCACGCUAUCGUUGUCACCCAAGUGAAGGAAGGCGGUGCCGCUCACAGGGAUGGCAGACUGUCCUUAGGAGAUGAGCUGCUGGUAAUCAAUGGUCACUUACUAGUCGGGCUGUCCCACGAGGAAGCUGUGGCCAUUCUUCGCUCAGCCACUGGUGUGGUUCAGCUGGUGGUGGCCAGCAAGGAGAACUCUGCCGAGGACCUCCUGAGGCUGACGUCUAAGAGUCUGCCUGACCUGACCAGCUCCACAGAGGACGUUUCCUCUUGGACUGACAACGAAGACCAGGAGCCAGACGAGGACGAAGGCACCGGCUCAUCUUCUGUCCAGAGAGCAAUGCCUGGAACAGAGGAGCCCCACGAUGCAUGCGGCCCCGAGGAAUCCAAGGGGAACUUGGAAAGUCCCAAACAAGGCAGCAGUAAGAUGAAGCUCAAGAGUCGCCUGUCAGGUGGUGUACACCGUCUCGAGUCUGUUGAAGAAUAUAAUGAACUGAUGGUGCGACAUGGUGACCCCCGGGCCAGGAUGUUAGAGGUCUCCCGAGAUGGCCGGAAGCAUUCCCUUCCCCAGCUCCUGGACUCGACGGGCACAUCACAGGAAUACCACAUUGUGAAGAAGUCCACCCGCUCACUAAGCACAACUCAGGUGGAAUCUCCCUGGAGACUCAUUCGGCCGUCAGUCAUCUCCAUCAUUGGGCUGUACAAAGAAAAGGGCAAGGGCCUUGGCUUUAGCAUUGCUGGAGGUCGAGACUGCAUUCGAGGACAGAUGGGGAUUUUUGUCAAGACCAUUUUCCCAAAUGGAUCGGCUGCAGAGGAUGGAAGACUUAAAGAAGGGGAUGAAAUCCUAGAUGUAAAUGGAAUACCAAUCAAGGGCUUGACAUUUCAAGAAGCCAUUCAUACCUUUAAGCAAAUCCGGAGUGGAUUGUUUGUCUUAACGGUACGCACCAAGUUACUGAGCCCAAGUCUCACACCCUGCUCCACACCCACACACAUGAGCAGAUCAAGCUCCCCAAACUUCAAUGCCAGCGGGGGAACCUCAGCGGUGGGCAGUGAUGAAGGCAGUUCGUCCCUGGGUCGGAAGGCCCCCGGACCCAAGGACAGAAUCGUCAUGGAAGUAACCCUCAACAAAGAGCCCAGAGUUGGCUUAGGCAUCGGUGCCUGCUGCUUGGCCUUAGAAAACAGCCCUCCAGGCAUCUACAUUCACAGCCUUGCCCCAGGAUCAGUGGCCAAGAUGGAGAGCAAUCUGAGCCGCGGAGAUCAAAUCCUGGAAGUGAACUCUGUCAACGUCCGCCAUGCUGCUUUAAGCAAAGUCCACUCCAUCUUGAGCAAAUGCCCCCCAGGACCCGUUCGCCUGGUCAUCGGCCGGCACCCUAAUCCAAAGGACUCCCUGAUUUCUGAAUCUGAACUCUCCCAGUACUUUGCUCACGAUGCCCCAGGCCCACUGUCUGACUUCAUGGUGGCCGGCUCUGAAGACGAGGACCCUCCAGGGAGCGGUGGCAGCAGCAGCUCCGCGGAGCCCCCCGGCACAUCCCCAGCUCACAAGGAGCCAGGAAAAGCCAGGGCCAACAGCCUUGUGUCUCUUGGAAGCCAACGGACCUCUGGGCUCUUCCACAAGCAGGUGACAAUUGCCAGGCAAGCCAGUCUUCCUGGGAGCCCAGAGGUCCUCCGGAACCCCCUCCUCCGCCAGAGGAGGGUGGGCUGCUCUGAUGACGACGCCAGCGAUGAGGAAGAGUUUGAUGGCGAAGGCGACUGUAUUUCCCUCCCAGGGACCCUCUCAGGUCCCAGCAGGCCGCUGACAGAGGACGACUCUACACGUGUUUCAACAGCCUCUUCCAAGGUCACAGGUAUCAACCGAGAGGAACACCCCAAGAAAACACUGGUCAGCAAGGCCUCCUCGGUGCCUCUCCUCGGCAGCUCGCUGGACUUCCAGGAGAGCCUCCCAGGAGGCGUGCGGGACCCCCUUUCCCAUGCACCCAGCCUGCUGGUCCCAUCAGAGGCCCCCAAGGGUAGCCCUGGCUGCUCAGGGAGGAAGGAACUGUCAGGAUCGAGGAGCUCGCCCAAACUGGAGUGCAGAGCUGGGACAGGCACCCAGGGUCCAGCAAGCACAGACAGCUCCAGUUCCCUCCAGCAGAAUGACAGCCUGGGGUCCAGGCACAAGCCCGUGACCAGGGUCAGCCCACACCGCAAGAGGCCUGAGGCUGAGGCCAGGCCUAGCAGCACAGAGGCAGCACAGCUGACCGAUGGAGCCAGUGACCCAUGUGGUGCUGACUUGAAAGUCCAGGAUAGUUCCAACCAAGUGACUGUGACUGGUUAUCGGCCAGGAGGAGCUGUGGAGAAGGAAUCUCUGGACAAGCUGUCCGUCGGGGAUGGACGAGUCCCCACUGACUGUGGACCAGGUGGUGCCCUGCCCCACCCGGCUGCCAGCCACCCUACAGAGAACCCACCUGAAGCAACAUCCAAGCAGGGGCAGCAACCCGGGACAGGACCAGAUGGCUCCCCAGACCCUCUCCCUUCCCCAGGGCAGAAGGGGGCAGCUCACCCUGACCCCAGCCAGACCUCAGUGGACACAGGGCCAGCGAGGCGACCUGAGGACCCUGGAGGGCCAGAGUCUCCCAGGAUCCCCAAGUCUGAGGACAGCACAUCCCCAGGGACAAUGGCAACGGCUCAUCCUGACCUCCAUGAGAUUAGAGCAGCUCCCAACGCCAGCUUGCCCUGCGCCGCCUGGAAGGCAACGACCCCCAGGGGAGCAGGACCCACGGCUGAGGGGGCACCUCUGACUGGUGCUGGGCUGCCACGAGACCUCACGUCCGGGGAGGAGAGCCAAGAGGGGGUUCCGGGUCACCAUGCCAAGGCUCUGCAAACCUCAGUGGUCCUUGUCCCUGGAAACUUCCGGGGAUCGGCUCUGCCCCAGGGAACAGACUCGGGGUCUGCCAGUCCCCUGCAGGCUGGCCCGACCCUGCCAUUGCCAAGUGACAAGGCCCAGGAGGCAUGUGGGGGUCCCUUGGGGCCUGGCUGCCUCGGAGGGAACGGGCGCUGCCCAGUGACGGACAUCGACAGGCUCCUGGUGGAACCAGGUGCCUCUGGAGCAAGACUUCCCUCCCUCGGGAAAGGGGACCAGCUGAGCAGAGAGCAGGCUGCCCAGGGGCCACAGCCAGCCUCAGGGAGUCCGAGCCCUGCCCCAAGGAGGCCCGGGGCGGCUGGUCCAGCCCCUCCCCCUCAGUGGGCCGGCCAGCCUUCGGUUUUGGAUUCCAUCAAUCCUGACAGACAUUUUACUGUGAACAAAAGCUUUCUGAGCAACUACUCUAGGAAUCUCAGCAGUCUCCACGAAGACAGCACCUCACUGUCGGGCCUGGGCGAUAGCACCGAGCCAUCCGUGUCCCUCUCAUCCAUGUACGGGGAUGUGGAGGACUCGUCCUCAGACCCCGAGUCACUCACUGAAGCCCCGCGAGCUCCCACCCGGGACAGCUGGUCCCCUCCUCGUCCUCGUCCUCCUGAGCCUUCUCACAAGGGAGACAUGACGGAGUCCGAGGAGGAGCAAGUGGAAAUCUGUUCCACGGAUGGCUCCCCCGAUAGACCCUUAGCCACUGCCCUUGCUCCUGCCCGGGUGGCUGCCUGCCCUGCCCUCUCCACAGCCCUGCCACCAAAGGACGGAGCCCUGAGCCAGGUGGGGGCAGAAGCGAGCCACACAGCCCGCUUCGUGCCAGGCACCUCCACCCCUCCGCAGCCACCUCCUCCUCUGUCAGGCGUGAGUUCUCAGGAGGCAGAGCCACCUGAGGAUGCAAGGGUCUCCCAAGACCACAGGUCCCCGAGUGAAGAGGACUCUGGGGAAGCCACCCAGCCUCCUCCAGGUACCAGGCCUGUCCCCAGCUCCCCAGGCACCCUCGGUUCUCCUAACAUGGUGAAUGGUUUGGAGUGUGACCGUUUGGAUGACAAGACGCCAGCUGAGAAACAAGAAACAGAUGUUCAUACUGCUGAAAACCAAGCCUCCUUCAGGGCAUGUGUCCCCAAGAACGGAGACUCAGCUCUGGGAAACCUGCAUAUCUCCAGAGGUCAAGGCCCAGAGGACUUGCUGCCAAAGCCAAAAGCCAUCUCCCGGCGGCCCCUCAUGGCCUGGUUUAAAGAGAUAAAUAAGAACAACCACGGGACACAUCCACAGAGCAAAACUGAAACGGAACAGUCCACGCUGCUGGCCGGAAGCCCCGACCCCAAGGCCCAGGUGCCGAGCUUCAGCCACAAGAAGGGGGUGCCUGUGCCAGAUAGUCCCCCUCCUCGGCUGGACCUUGAGAAUAAAGACUUGCCUGGGAAGAAUUCUGUGGAAACCCUUUUGAGUAACUGUCAGAAACCCAAAGCUGGUCCUAAGCUGAAGAGACUGAGCAUCAGAAGCAAAGGCAAAGUCAGCUCCGAGGCCCCGGCUGUUCACGCGGGGAAGUCAGGCAGCUCAGAGCACAAGAAAGCCCUCGUCUCACCCCAGGCCUCCCACAAAAUGCUUUCCAAGGUGGCGUCGCACCGGUGCCACACAGCCGGCCACGAGGAACCAGACACGACUGCCGCAGCUGCCCCCCAGCCUCCCCAGAGUGUGGAGGGCAAGGUGCCCCCUGGGACCCCGGGCUCCCUGAAGCCCUCGGCAUCUGACUCAAGCAUCAGGAUGUUUGUUUCGCCCGUGACCACCCCCAAGACCCUUCCUGAGCAAGGUGGGUGCGGUAGGCUCCACCCGGCGGUGCCUGCAGAACCCAACCGAGGCUGCCUGGCUGCCCCCAGCCCUCCCAAGUGUGGUCCAGAGAGCAGGGCUCCCCUGGCAUCCCCGGGGCCAGCAAGUCCCACGGCACCGAGGGGUGGCACGUCCAUGGUGGCCAGCAAGCGGGAGGUCCCGACUCCCGGGCAGGGUGAGCGGUUCCCGUCCAGCCAAACAGACUCCACAGCAGAAGCAGCCCUGCCCGGGGUGACUGGUGACAAAAGAAGCAAAAUAAUUGCCGGUGGGCCUCCCGAAAGAACCAAGCAGCUGAAAAUCAUUGAGAUCCCUUCUGAAAGGAUGCCAAAGAGCACAUGUGGUGACAUGCCGGCUGAAGGGGACACGCAGGGUGGGCUCUUGUCCCAGAGCAGCCAUCAGGAGGAGAGUGAGGUUGGGCUCUGUCACCAGCCAGGGGAGUCCUCCCCAAACCACCCGUCCUCACUCCCAACCCGGGUCUCCCAGGUGGAGCUAGAAGUGCAGCAGCGAUCCAUCAGCCUGGCAAGACUCUCCUCCUCUUCCUCCCCGCAGCUGCUGGCUAGAAAGGCCGAUCCCGGCCAAAUGGCCGAUGCCCUGGGGGUGCCCAGGAACAGCCCACCAGUGGGCCCAGUGCUGGACGAUCAUCCCUACUUCACGCCAAGGCCAGCGACCAGGACCUACUCCAUGCCGGCCCAGUUCUCCAGUCUUUUUGGCCGGGAGGGCCAUGCCCCACAGAGCCCAGGGCGCGCCCCUCGGGAUGCCCAGAUCCCUGGCACCAGCGGGGGCCUCCUCGAGGCCAAGGCGUCCAGAGGCGCCAUUCUCAGCCUGGCUAACGGGCAGGGUAUAUACAGCGUAAAGCCCCUGCUGGAGACUUCGGGGAACCUUCCAACAACAGACGAAGCAGAUGUCCUGUCCACCCAGGAAACCAGCUGCCAGCUCACAGACAGAGUCACAGUCACCAGGAGACAUCACUACUCCCCACAGAACUGGCCCCAUGAAUCCACCUCCUUUUUCUCUGUGAAGCAGAGGAUCAAGUCUUUCGAGAACCUAGCCCACUCUGACCGGCCCGCAGCCAAGGCCGGGGCCGCCUCCUCCUUGUCAGUGAGCUCCAAGCCUCCCAUUGGGAGACGGUCGUCCGGCAGCGUGGUUUCUGGGACCCUUGGCCACUUCAGUGACCCAACGGCGAGGUCACUGAGACGCAGCCUGAGUUCCUGCAGCGAAAGCCAAGGUGAAGCCGCCACCGUCGUCCCCCCGAUGACCAAGUCCCCGUCCAGCAUGACACUGACUGUCUCCCGGCAGACCCCAGCAGAUGCCCGUAGCAAGGGCACUGACUCAGACCCCAGGAGACCACCUGGUCCUUCGGGCAUCCCUGCCCCAACCGCAACCCCCGCCUCUCCCGCCAAGAGGAACAAGUCCUCGGUGCGUCACACGCAGGCCUCACCUCUGUCCCGCUCGAAGCUCCAGGAGCUGAGAGCCCUGAGCAUGCCCGACUUGGACAAGCUCUGCAGCGAGGACUUCUCAGCGGGGCCACCCGCUGUGCUCUUCAAAACCGAGCUGGAAAUCGUCCCCCGGAGGUCACUUGGCUCCCCUGCUGGGGGCCUCACUGGGUCCACUGCCCUUUCAUGCCCCAGGGAUGGGGCAGAAAGGGCCUAUCCCAAAGCCACUGACCCCAGAGCAUCCAGUUUAACCCAUGAUGUGGGUGAGACCACCCAGGAUCUGCCUUCCGGAAGAAGUUGGUCAGUUAAUCUGCAGCAGCUCCUGGUCUCAGCAGGGGAUCAGCAAAGACUGCAGUCCGUUCUGUCGUCAGUGGGGUCCAGGUCUACGGUCCUCUCUCUCAUUCAGGAAGCGAAAGCACAAUCAGAGAACAAAGAAGAUAUUUGCUUCAUAGUCUUGAAUAAAAAAGAAGGCUCAGGUCUGGGAUUCAGUGUGGCAGGAGGGACAGAUGUGCAGCCAAAAGCAAUUGUGGUCCACAGGGUGUUUUCUCAGGGGGCGGCUUCUCAGGUAGGGACUGUGAGCCGAGGGGAUUUCCUGCUGUCCCUCAACGGUGCCUCACUGGCUGGCUUAGCCCACGGGGAUGUGCUGAAGGCUCUGCACCAGGCACAGCUGCACAAAGAGGUCCUCCUGGUCAUCAAGAAAGGGAGUGAUCAGCCCAGGCCCUCCAGCCGGCAGGAGCCUCCCACAGCCAACGGGAAGGGCUUGGUGUCCAGAAAGACCAGCCCCCUGGAGCCUGGAACAGGGAGAAGCAUGGCUGUGCACGAGGCUCUGUGUGUUGAAGUGCUGAAGACCUCGGCCGGGCUGGGCCUGAGUCUGGAUGGAGGGAAGUCAUCCAUGUCUGGAGAUGGGCCCCUGCUCGUUAAAAGAGUGUACAAAGGUGGUGCAGCUGAGCAAGCAGGAACAAUAGAAGCUGGAGAUGAAAUUCUUGCCAUUAACGGGAAAUCUCUAGUGGGGCUGAUGCAUUUCGAUGCCUGGAAUAUCAUGAAGGCUGUCCCAGAGGGACCUGUGCAGUUAGUAAUUAGAAAGCACAGGAAUUCUUCAUGCAGCAAGCACUGGUAGUGACACUAACAGUGCUUGUUACUUUUUUUUUUAAACCUGGAAUCUCCUUCUCUCAAUUUCUUUCUUUGGCAAAUCAGAAUGACUUCUCUAAACAGUGAGUUCCUGAAACAACAGAGAAGCACUGGUGCGGGCAAGACUACCAAACUCCCCAGCGCUUUUGCUCACGCAUGAAGCAGCAGCCAUGGAGCUGAGCUCCUAAGCCUUCUGCCUGGAUCACUUAGGCUGGGAGGGCCCACUUCGUCCCAGUGCCUGUCCCCUCCUGUCUGCCAUGUUUCCUGAUGGGGACACAAGAUGUGGCAUGCCCUUCUUUACUUGAAACAUUUAGUGAGACCUCCAAAUCCUUCCUCCCACCUCUCCCAACAUAAUCAGUCCUGGCAAUUAGUGACCCAACUAACAAAGUCUGAGGGCAACACAACUGUCACAACUAAAAAGACUAGUUUUAUAUAAUUUUGUAAGUAAAUGACAGAAUGCUUUUAGGCACAUUCAGUGGAAGGAGCUAAGGGUCUGUUAUCCUGAAAAGAAAA
rnacentral:lncRNA from 1 species